GUCACCAUUGAAGUAAUUUGAAAUGACCGACCGUUCAAGUAAAUGUUCAAUAUACAUUUAUGAAUAAUAAAUAACCGGGUGAUAAAUAGGGUAGUUUUGUCUUUAAACGUGACGAGGAUUAAUGAGAAAGAGGACUGAUGAGAGUCGUGAGUUGGACGAGAGUUUUCUCAACUCUCAUGCCUCAAUCAAACGAACAAGAGUUGCAUGAGAAUGAUGAAAGUGGGCGGUCCAACGCGAGCGAGAG